rnacentral:lncRNA from 1 species
UUCAAACCUCAGGAUUUCUCCGUGUUUCCCAGACCGUAACGUUUGGAAUAGUUCACCAGUGAAGUCAUCUCAACCAGCACAGGGCCUUGACUCCUAACAACAAUCACACGAACUUGGAAGAGGAUCCUUCCCCAGCUGAAACUUCACUUGAGACCUUCUCAUUGGCCAUCAUCGACAUCUGGAUUCAUGAUACAGAGAAACUUGAGUAAUGAUGACAAUAGCAGUCCAGCCUGCAUGGAUGCUGACAUGGAUGCUGUCUCCCAUUCUUACCACUGGAUGUCAAGAACUGCUAGAUGCGAUCCAGCCAGUCUGUACUCGACUCUCAGUUCCAUCUUCUCAACUCACAGUGUCUUCCAAAGUCCAUGCCACACCACAGCCUGGAAGAUCUCCCAAGGCUUUGAAUAACUCACCAGUGAAGUCAUCUUGACCUGGACAGAAAUUGAAUCCUCCCAAGAAUCCCAGGAGCUUGGAAGGGGAUCCUUCCCCAGAUGAGCCUUCCCUUGAAAUCUCUGCCAGGCAUCUGACCCAGAGAAACUGCCACACCACUUUACAGAGGAACACCAGGGAUGUUCCAGGAACCAUGCCCACAAAGCUUACUAAGCCAUGGGACUGCAUACUACACUCCCAAGGACAUCCACAAAGUCAAGACUCUUGCUUUUUCAGACCAUGAUCAUGGACUGCAUUCUCCAUACCAUGUUCAUAUCUUCAGUGGGAAAACAAACUCCUGAGUCCUGGAGACCUAGAAUGAGAGACACAGCUGACCUUGACCGUAUUUCUCACUUCUGAGAAGAUUGUAGCAGUAAUUCAGAAUGUUUCCAAACAAAGUCACUAAAACAACACGCAUUCAAGAAGUGGG